rnacentral:sRNA from 1 species
UCUCUUCAUCAUCACCA